GCAGCACAGAGGCAGCAAGCACACUCUGCUGCAAACGCUGGGAGUGAGAGGGAUGUCCUGGUGCAGAAGUCCAGACUGCCUGGUGUUCCUCCGGUAGCCUGGGCCACCUUCCUUCUGCUUUCCGAGCAAAGGCAGCACGUGGUGCUAACCUCGCCCGACCCUGAUCAUCCCCUGGUCCAGCAAUGAAGGCAGCAUUUAGAGUCACCGUGCUGUACUGAAGCCGGGAGAGUCAGUGUCUUGGAUCCGGUACUUUUAUACUGUUUCCCUUGUGUACACUACCUGCAGAGAGUACACUCCGCUGUGGAUAAAGGUCCUGAAGGCUGAGAGAGAGCGGCGGGGAGAACCGGGAGAAAGCCUGGACUCAGUGUGGCUUCGCUAAUGAUGCUUCCCACAGAUUCCAAGUUACAAGGGCCAGUGGUGAGAAGUGAGCCUCCUGAGAACCCAGAGGAAAGCCGUGUAUCCUACCAAGGAGAUGUCACAGAGAAGUUGUCUGAGGUGUGAGUUCCCCAGGAAUCAGUGGGUGGACAGAAGAAGAUGGCGCAUUCCUUGGGCAAAGAUCCAGAGGCCACAGUCCCUUACACAGUGGACUAGAGCCAAGGCCUGGAGGCCCUUUUCUAACAAGGCUGAGACUCACUCUGCAGGCUCGCUCCAGCCUCUACCCAGCUGUCCUCACUCAUAUACUGCCUGAUGCCCAUCAGAGUUUAAACGCCCUCUCCCCGAGUGCUGGUAAAUAAAGCAACACUUA